rnacentral:sRNA from 1 species
UGUCUGAAUCGUUUUCAGGUAAAUCAUA